rnacentral:rRNA from 1 species
UGUCCAGGCCAACAUCGGUUUCGAGGGUCGGUCAAAGGCUCCGGGAAUGUAUCUACCCACGGGUAGACUUAUAGACCGGGGUGUCAUGCGACCUCUCGGGACUGAGGAACGCGCUUCGGCUCGGAUGUUGGCGUAAUGGUUGUCAGCG